GAAAAACAGUUAUGGAACAUGGUGUUAAAGUGAGGAUGACGACACAAAUUCGGCCAUAUUUUAAUUAGUGGUAUCAUAACUUGAAGAGACCAUCAGUCGUUAUACAGACAUCUUGACGUUCGAUGUGAUGUACAACUUGACGAAUAUGCAUGAGGAGACGCUAGUGACACAUUCCAACUAGAACUGAAGGUGAAUCUAAGAAGAUUGUAGAACAACUGUUUCUUUUCUGUCCAUGUUCGAAGAUAACGUUAGUGUGACUAAGGUGUUUGUAAGCAGUUGCAGCUUUUAAAUUCUAUGUUUUACCUACUUCAUUUGAAGUUUACUCUCGCAACCCGAAAAUUGAUUCCUUGGAACCAUCUGUGAAGAAUAAUGAAGAAUAUUUAAAAUAAAAUCCUAUUGUUUAAUUCUCAUUAUCUGCAAA